rnacentral:rRNA from 1 species
UACAGAGGAUGCAAGCGUUAUCCGGAAUUACUGGGCGUAAAGGGCGCGUAGGCGGCCCGUCAAGUCCCGUGUGAAAGCCCCCGGCUCAACCGGGGAACGGCGCGGGAAACUAGCAGGCUUGAGUUCGGGAGAGGGAAGCGGAAUUCCGGGUGUAGCGGUGAAAUGCGCAGAUAUCCGGAGGAACACCGGUGGCGAAGGCGGCUUCCUGGACCGACACUGACGCUGAGGCGCGAAAGCUAGGGGAGCAAACGGG